rnacentral:rRNA from 1 species
AUUGAACGCUGGAGGCAGGCCUAACACAUGCAAGUCGAGAGAGCGGCGGACGGGUGAGUAAUGUGAGGGGACUGCACGAUAGAUGGGGAUAACUACUGGAAACGGUGGCUAAUAACGAAUACUAUCGGAUAACCCAUAUGGGAUUAGCUAGUAGGUGGGGUAAAGGCUCACAUAGGCGACGAUCCCUAGCUGGUCUGAGAGGAUGAUCAGCCACACGGGGACUGAGACACGGCCCAGACUCCUACGGAGGCAGCAGUGGGGAAGAUUUCACAAGGGGCGCAAGCCUGAUGCAGCCAUGCCGAGUGUAUGAAGAAGGCCUUAGGGUUGUAAAGUACUUUCAGCGUGGAGGCGUUACCCGCAGAAGAAGCACCGGCUAACUCCGUGCCAGCAGCCGCGGUAAUAC